CUGCCAGAUGGGGGGGGANAACUACUGGAAACGGUAUCUAAUACCGCAUAACGUCGCAAGACCAAAGUGGGGGACCUUCGGGCCUCACACCCUCAGAUGUGCCCAGAUGGGAUUAUCUAGUAUGUGGGGUAACGGCUCACCUAGGCGACGAUCCCUAUCUGGUCUGAGAGGAUGACCAGCCACACUGGAACUGANACACGGUCCAGACUCCUACGGGAGGCAGCAGUGGGGAAUAUUGCACAAUGGGCGCAAGCCUGAUGCACCCAUGCCGCGUGUAUGAAGAAGGCCUUCGGGUUGUAAAGUACUUUCACUCAAGAAGAAGGGUGUACUCUUAAUACGGCUAUGCUUUGACUUUACUGACAAAAGAAGCACCGGCUAACUCCGUGCCAGCACCCGCGGUAAUACAGAGGGUGCAAGCUUUAAUCAAAAUUACUGGGCGUAAAGCGCACGCACGCGGUCUGUCAAGUCAGAUGUGAAAUCCCCGGGCUCCACCCGGGAACUGCAUUCGAAACUGGCGGGCUAGACUCUUGUAGAGGGGGGUANAAUUCCGNGUGUAGCGGUGAUAUGCAUAGAGAUCUAG
rnacentral:rRNA from 1 species